UAUAAAUGUUCAUAAAAUCAGGAAUGAAGUGCAAUACAGAGAAGAUUAGCAUGGCCCCAGUGAAAGAACGACAUGCAAAUUUGUGAUGUGUUCCAUAUUUAA
rfam:Otolemur garnettii contig119422, whole genome shotgun sequence.